CGGCAACAGCUCAAAUUUGAAAUCUGGCCCCUAGGGUCCGAGUUGUAAUUUGCAGAGGAUGCUUUUGACAAGGUGCCUUCCGAGUUCCCUGGAACGGGACGCCAUAGAGGGUGAGAAUCCCGUACGUGCCCGGUGGCCGCCCCCGUGUGAAGCUCCUUCGAC
rnacentral:rRNA from 1 species